UCCGUCCGGGCCACACGACCAGGGUGUGGCAGUCGCGCACCGCCGAUGCGCUCGGGUGCCGAGUGCUCCCCCCCGCUCCCUGCAGUGCGAGGAGAGCGCGGGGAGAUAUGGUGGGGGGAAAAGAGGGGGGGCGUGUGCGAGCAGGCGUGGCUGCUUCGAAGGGAGGCCGAGUGGGGGCGUGGCGUGGCGGUGGGCCCCUUGGGGUCGCUCUUCCCUCCCCUCUGCGACGCCGCCGGCGGCCCGUCCCGUCCUGUCGCGCGCGCGCGCACCCGCGGCCCUCGCUCCCUAGCCGGCCCUACAGCUGCGGCCGCUCCUUCGCGGACUACGCGCUGAAGUUCGCGGACGUCGUCCUGGGCGGGCGGCCGUAGUCGCCGCGCGGCGUGCUGUUGUUGUAGUGGGAGACCUUGCGGCAGUAUAAACCCGGCCUACUGUGCGGCACCCUACCUCCAUGCAAGUUCGACUGGGACGUUAAGUGUCUUCUAAUGGGGUUGUUCGGUGGUUGACAAGCCAAACAGAGUUCCUACAAAGUGGGUUUGUUACCUUCGUAGACGAACCUAUAGGAUGUCUUGGUCACCUCGGGAUAUAUACUACAACGCCGCUAUAACUGGAGAUAGGUCAGGGACGACACGCUGGGCUUGGGCUUAAGAGGACGCUUGAGACUUCGUCGGUCUUACAUGUCGCUCUUGUUCGCGCUCAUGUUGGCGUUCCAAGCACUCCAGCACCUCGUCUCGACCUGUCGCCUGAUCGCAGCGGUCUAGGACGUUAUUCGCUGCGGUCCUUGCAGCGGUAAAGACCGAAACGACACGAACACUGGACAAACCACUUGAUUCCGUACAAUCGGUAACAUUUCUAAAAUACAAUAUCGAUUCUUCAACCACGACGAACGCUCAGAAAUUUGGGAACCA
rnacentral:rRNA from 1 species